rnacentral:rRNA from 1 species
GACGAACGCUGGCGGCGUGCUUAACACAUGCAAGUCGAACGCUGAAGCCUGGCUUUUGUUGGGUGGAUGAGUGGCGAACGGGUGAGUAACACGUGAGUAACCUGCCCCCUUCUUUGGGAUAACGCCCGGAAACGGGUGCUAAUACUGGAUAUUCACUGGUCUUCGCAUGGGGGUUGGUGGAAAGGGUUUUCUGGUGGGGGAUGGGCUCGCGACCUAUCAGCUUGUUGGUGGGGUGAUGGCCUACCAAGGCUUUGACGGGUAGCCGGCCUGAGAGGGUGACCGGUCACAUUGGGACUGAGACACGGCCCAGACUCCUACGGGAGGCAGCAGUGGGGAAUAUUGCACAAUGGGCGCAAGCCUGAUGCAGCGACGCCGCGU